rnacentral:rRNA from 1 species
CAGACAAGACUACCCGCUGAACUUAAGCUA